rnacentral:rRNA from 1 species
UACGUAGGGGGCAAGCGUUGUCCGGAAUUAUUGGGCGUAAAGCGCACGUAGGCGGCUUAGCAAGUCCCAUGUGAAAGCCCACGGCUUAACCGUGGAAGUGCAUGGGAAACUGCUGAGCUUGAGUACUUAAGAGGAUCGCGGAAUUCCCGGUGUAGAGGUGAAAUUCGUAGAUAUCGGGAGGAACACCUGUGGCGAAAGCGGCGCACUGGACCACAUCUGACGCUGAGGCGCGAAAGCUAGGGGAGCAAACAGGAUUAAGACUACCCAGUA